GUGGGGAAUUUUGGACAAUGGGCGCAAGCCUGAUCCAGCCAUGCCGCGUGCAGGAUGAAGGCCUUCGGGUUGUAAACUGCUUUUGUACGGAACGAAAAGACUCUUUCUAAUAAAGAGGGUCCAUGACGGUACCGUAAGAAUAAGCACCGGCUAACUACGUGCCAGCAGCCGCGGUAAUACGUAGGGUGCGAGCGUUAAUCGGAAUUACUGGGCGUAAAGCGUGCGCAGGCGGUGAUGUAAGACAGAUGUGAAAUCCCCGGGCUCAACCUGGGAACUGCAGUUGUGACUGCAGCGCUGGAGUGCGGCAGAGGGGGAUGGAAUUCCGCGUGUAGCAGUGAAAUGCGUAGAUAUGCGGAGGAACACCGAUGGCGAAGGCAAUCCCCUGGGCCUGCACUGACGCUCAUGCACGAAAGCGUGGGGAGCAAACAGGAUUAGAAACCCUUGUAGUCC
rnacentral:rRNA from 1 species